rnacentral:rRNA from 1 species
UACGGGGGGUGCAAGCGUUAAUCGGAAUUACUGGGCGUAAAGCGCGCGUAGGCGGUUGGAUAAGUCAGAUGUGAAAGCCCCGGGCUUAACCAGGGAAGUGCAUUUGAUACUGUUUGACUCGAGUAUGGGAGAGGGGGGUGGAAUUCCCGGAGUAGAGGUGAAAUGCGUAGAUAUCGGGAGGAACACCAGUGGCGAAGGCGGCUCCCUGGACCAAUACUGACGCUGAGGUGCGAAGGCGUGGGGAGCAAACAGG